rnacentral:ncRNA from 1 species
GUUCAAAAUAGGAAAGGCUUGCGGUGGAUACCUAGGCACCCAGAGACGAGGAAGGGCGUAGCAAGCGACGAAAUGCUUCGGGGAGUUGAAAAUAAGCAUAGAUCCGGAGAUUCCCAAAUAGGUCAACCUUUUAAACUGCCUGCUGAAUCCAUGAGCAGGCAAG